rnacentral:rRNA from 1 species
AGUGGACGCUGGCGGUAGACCUAACACAUGCAAGUCGAACGGCAGCACAGUAAGAGCUUGCUCUUACGGGUGGCGAGUGGCGGACGGGUGAGGAAUACAUCGGAAUCUACUUUUUCGUGGGGGAUAACGUAGGGAAACUUACGCUAAUACCGCAUACGACCUACGGGUGAAAGCAGGGGAUCUUCGGACCUUGCGCGAUUGAAUGAGCCGAUGUCGGAUUAGCUAGUUGGCGGGGUAAAGGCCCACCAAGGCGACGAUCCGUAGCUGGUCUGAGAGGAUGAUCAGCCACACUGGAACUGAGACACGGUCCAGACUCCUACGGGAGGCAGCAGUGGGGAAUAUUGGACAAUGGGCGCAAGCCUGAUCCAGCCAUACCGCGUGGGUGAAGAAGGCCUUCGGGUUGUAAAGCCCUUUUGUUGGGAAAGAAAAGCAGCAGGUUAAUACCCCGCUGUUCUGACGGUACCCAAAGAAUAAGCACCGGCUAACUUCGUG